rnacentral:rRNA from 1 species
CCUACGGGAGGCAGCAGUGAGGAAUAUUGGUCAAUGGACGAGAGUCUGAACCAGCCAAGUAGCGUGAAGGAUGACUGCCCUAUGGGUUGUAAACUUCUUUUAUAUGGGAAUAAAACGUUCCACGUGUGGGAUUUUGUAUGUACCAUAUGAAUAAGGAUCGGCUAACUCCGGGCCAGCAGCCGCGGUAAUACGGAGGAUCCGAGGGUUAUACGGUUUUAUUGGGUUUAAAGGGAGCGUAGGUGGAUUGUUAAGUCAGUUGUGAAAGUUUGCGGCUCAACCGUAAAAUUGCAGUUGAAACUGGCAGUCUUGAGUACAGUAGAGGUGGGCGGAAUUCGUGGUGUAGCGGUGAAAUGCUUAGAUAUCACGAAGAACUCCGAUUGCGAAGGCAGUUCACUGGACUGCAACUGACACUGAGGCUCGAAAGUGUGGGUAUCAAACAGGAUUAGAUACCCGAGUAGUC